rnacentral:rRNA from 1 species
UGUAAAGUUUAGCUUAAAAGUCAUUAUAUUAAGUCUUUAUUUUACAGACAUGGAUAAAACUUUUUAUAAAAAAUUUGGUAGUUCUUAUCUUUUGUAUAAUGGUUGAACUAAAAUUGUAUCUUUUGAUUUUUCCCGAAAUGAGAAGAGCUAAUUACUAGCUUUGAACUGGAAUAAGCGAGUUAUGUGGAAAUAUGGCUUAUAGACUAGUAAUUAGGGAUGAAAUGUCUUCAAUUCUCAAGAUAUCUGGAAGUUCCUGAAAAGCAUUUAGUGCUGUUAAGUGAGACGGUGAAGUGUUUAGAUUUCCCGUUUAGUUAGUAUGGAUGAUCUAUUUAAGUUUUCUAUGAUUAAUCCCCUAGUUUAAUUUUAUUUUAAUUAAUUUAUUUCUUAAUAUAUCUAUUAGAAUAUGGAACAUUUUUAGGUAAUUUAACUUAAAAUUAAAAAUGUUUAAAUUAGUAGUAAUUGAAAUAUUAACUCGAAUUUAUUUGAAUAAGAAUUUGUGAGUAAUUUUUAAAUAGCAAGAAGGAACUCGGCAAAUAUAGACUUGGACUGUUUAACAAAAACAUAGCCAUAAGUUUACAUUUUUGGUUUAACCUGCCCAAUGUAUAAAAAUAAUGAAUGGCCGCGGUACCCUGACCGUGCUAAGGUAGCGUAAUCAGUUGGCUUUUAAAUGGAGUCAGGAAUGAAUGGAAUAACCUGGUCUAGCUGUCUCCUGGUUAUUUAGUCUAAUUUACUGAUCAAGUGAAAAAGCUUGAAAAAAGAAAAGGGACGAGAAGACCCUUAGAAUUUUACUAAUAAUAAGAUAAAUAUUCUUACAUUUGUUUUGUUGGGGUGACAAAGAAAUAUAUUCAAACUUUCUUUACUUACAAGCCGAGUUUUAUUAAGCAAGAAUAAAUUACCUGAGGGAUAACAGCAUAAUUCUAUAAGUGAGUUUGUGACCUCGAUGUUGGACUAGGAAACUAACAAGUUAGCCGUUUGUUGUGUUGGUUCUGUUCGAACUUUAAUUCCUACAUGAUCUGAGUUCAGACCGGCGUAAGCCAGGUCAGAUUCUAUCUUUUUAUAUAAUAGCUUUAGUACGAAAGGACCGAGUUGUUUUAUGUGAUAUAAAUAA